AUUCUUGUAGUUGAAUUACAACAAUGGUUUUUCAUAUCAUGGGUCACGAGAUUUGUCGUGCAAGAAUU
rnacentral:tRNA from 1 species